CAGUCGCCGCGGUAAUACGAAGGGUGCAAGCGUUAAUCGGAAUUACUGGGCGUAAAGGGUGCGUAGGCGGUUAGUUAAGUCUGUCGUGAAAUCCCCGGGCUCAACCUGGGAAUGGCAGUGGAUACUGGCAAGCUAGAGUGUGUCAGAGGAUGGUGGAAUUCCCGGUGUAGCGGUGAAAUGCGUAGAGAUCGGGAGGAACAUCAGUGGCGAAGGCGGCCAUCUGGGACAACACUGACGCUGAGGCACGAAAGCGUGGGGAGCAAACAGGAUUAGAUACCCCCGUAGUCCCUGUCUCUUAUAC
rnacentral:rRNA from 1 species